rnacentral:rRNA from 1 species
UACGUAGGGGGCGAGCGUUGUUCGGAAUUAUUGGGCGUAAAGCGCGUGUAGGCGGCUUUGCAAGUCGGGUGUGAAAGCCCUCAGCUCAACUGAGGAAGUGCGCCCGAAACUGCAGAGCUUGAGUACCGGAGAGGAUGGCGGAAUUCCCCAAGUAGAGGUGAAAUUCGUAGAUAUGGGGAGGAACACCGGUGGCGAAGGCGGCCAUCUGGACGGAUACUGACGCUGAGACGCGAAAGCGUGGGUAGCAAACAGG